CCUAUAAAAGCCUCACUUUCAGCGAUCGGACAUUUCCCCCUGGAAGAAAAUUGUAAACCCUAGCAGAGCGUGACGACAUCCCGAUUCGAACCUCCCCUAAGAAGCUCCAGCCGAACCUCCCCGAUUCGUGCCAUAGCCCAGGAUUUUGGCUAAUCGGCAAUCAGCUCAGAGGUCGAGGGUGAGAAAGUUGCAGUAUAUAUCGGAGCUCGAACAAAGCGUGACGACAUUUCAGGUGGUACCGAGCCAGAAUAUCGCUUGGAAAUGGUGCAGGAUUUCCUUACGAAUCAAGCACCGCCAUCUAUGUAGACGACGAGCUCGUCGGGAGUGGCGAGUAUCGGCCCAAGAAGGAGAUUGCGAUCAAGUUUCCCUGAAAUUGUGUAGUCCGGUGGUCUUCUAAAUUCUCCUAGACGCAUGUCAGGAUUUUGGUUUUUGGGGUUGAAUACUGCAGCUGCAUUUGUGUUGGCCCGUUUAUUACUCUGCUUGAAUGUUUUCUAAAUUUUUGCGAAUCUUUACAUGGUGUUGGGGCUGGUAGUUGAUUUUGCGUUUUAGAACGUAGUACGCCUCUUUGAACCAAAUCCGCACAUUUCCGAUGCUUUUCAUCUAUACAUUCGAUUUCCUUGAGCAGUCC